rfam:Myotis lucifugus cont2.52808, whole genome shotgun sequence.
GGUGGUUCUCAGGUGAUGCACCCCGGAAUGAAGCUCCCUCCUCUCUGGUUCUGGGUGUGUCACCCAAGAACCCCA